UUUUUUUUCUUUCAAAUGACAUUAUGAGCCGACUCUACUCGCCGACUCGACAGAUAGUCGCAGGUUACUUGAGAUAAACUACCUGGAGGACAAGCAAGACACCUUUGGAAAGUGGACUCGAGGGCCUUCGUGGUUUUGUAAAAGUACAAGAAUGAACCCCGUGAAUAUGAACAGUUUGAACGUAUCCAUCUCUGGAAACCAGCACGCGAAUCAGUUCGCCGUCUAUGAGUCUCCGCUGUACAAGGACUACAGACCUCCAGCCAGAGAUCUGAUCCAGCUCCCCAGAGCCCUGCUCUACCUGAUGAUGGCCGCGGUGGUGGUGGUCGCUGUCGCUUAUGCCAUUGUGGGACAUUUAAUUAAAGACCUCGCGCAUGACAUCUUGGACUGGGCUUUGGGUCCAGAUGAGGAGAUCUUAAAGGUCAACAGUGAGGCGGGUGAUGAUGGUUCCACGCACAUGCCACCAGGCCUCACACACUCCCACCCCAACGCCUUUCAUGUUUGGGAUCAGGACGACGUGGUCAUCCCCCUCUCUCCAGUGGACAGCCCUCAAACCAGCCCCCUUUUGGCUACCAUCCCUUUUAUCCCUCACUUCUUCCCCUCUCCUGCUUCUCACAGUGUGCUGAAUAGCCCCGCACUGCCUCAAAUACACCCAGAGGAUAACAAGAGCCCCACAAAGACACCACAAGAUGCCUAUGUCUUCCCUUCACCCAAAAUGAAAGGACAUAGUUCCGCUUUCUCACACAUGUCAUUUCAUGAGAGAAGAGAUGGGACUGAUAAAGUUUGAACCACCGAACAAUGGCUCACACUAGAUUGUAGUCCAUGAAUUCUUAAAGGAAUAGUUCACCAUAAAAAGAAAAUUUGCUGAAUAUUUACUCACUCUCAGGACAUCCAAGAUGUCAAUAAGUUUGUUUCUUCAUCAGAACAGUUUUGGAGAAAUUAUAUCACUUGCUCACCAGUGGAUCCUCUGCAGUGAAUGGGUGCCGUCAGACUGAGAGUCCAAACAGCUGAUAAAAACAUCACAAAAAUCUACACCUUAUGAAGUGAAAAAUGGCAUGUUUGCAAUAAGCAAAUCCAUUAUUAAGAUGCUUUUAAUAAUGAAUUCGUAAAUUUUCUUUAAUAAUUAACUUUCUCUUGUGAAAAUGUUGUCUUGUCUGAAUCAGGAGUGAAAUAUCCACAAAUCAAGUACUGUUUACAAGCGAAAACAUUAAAAACUACAAAACAGUUCUAAACAAAUAUGUUGGUGGAUUUUAAUGUGAGAGGACAAGAGGAUGGACUUUUUCCACUGUUUAUUUUAUUAUGGACAUAAUCAUGGACUUUUUUUUGGCCAAAAGUGACAAUUAAAAUUUACACUUCCCAAUACGUUAAUUGUUUGACUAAAAUCUUGUUGAUUUCUUGUGGAUUAUUUUUAUCAGCUGUUUGCACUCUCAUUCUGACGGCACCCAUUCACUGCAGAGGAUCCUCUGGUGAGCAAGUGAUGUAAUGCUAAAUUUAUACAAAUCUUUUCAGAUGAGGAAACAAACUCAUCCUCAUCUUGGAUAGCUUGAGGGUGAGGACAUUUUUAUUUUUGGGUGAACUAUUUUUUUAAGUUUAAAUCCCUCCCUUUAAAUAGAUGAAAUUAACUAAGAAACUUUUGGCUUCUUUGAUCAAUGCCCAAUGCCGGUGUUGUCUGUAUUUACCACAGUACCCUAAACUUUUCUAUUUGACUGCAAAAGCUGGGCCUCAACCUGUGGAGCAUAUGAGGAUGAGUGGCCUGUCCUCAAAAUAAGUGCUGUUGACCCUAAAUGACCUCAGUAAGCAGAGAGCAAUGUCAGUCCAAGCCGCAUUACUUGGGCGUGUUGCAAAGUGAGAGACUGCACAAUCACGUCUGUAGGAUUGUGCCAAUUCAGGAGCAGCCUUCCUCCUGAAGCCAAAAUAAAUCCUCAGAACAGAUUUAGUUCAACGCAGGAUAACCAGCAUAUAUAUAUAUAUAUAUAUGUUUUUUCUUUUUCUGUCUUUGCCGUUUAUGGUGUUGCACAGAAUUAGUACUGAACCUAUGGCUACUUUUGUAAGGAAAGUUAAACUGGAUUGGAUUUAGAAUCCAAAGUGUUAUUGUCAAGGUUUAUUAACUAGUGGCUCUAUUCAAAACAAACAAAAAAAAAAAGUUCUCCAAUGUAUUUAUUGUAUGUGUGUUCUGGCUCCAGAAUUAACACUUGCAAACACCAAAUUAAGUAAAAAUGGUUUAGAUAUUUUAAUAUAUUAAUAUUUUAAAAAUAUCUUUAAUAAAAUGAAACAUAUGGCUUCAUGGUCAGUAAAAUGUGUUAUAUAUUUGAUUAAUUUCAGUCUUAAAAAUAAAGGUUCUUUAUUGGCGAACAUCCAUGGAAACUUUUCAAUGCACAAAAGGUUAUUUAGAGUGGAAAACAGGUUAUUUAGAUUAUUAAAAUGUUCUUCACAUAAAAGGAAAAAAAUGAUUCUUUUAAGAACUGCAAAAUGUACAUUUUGGACCCUGGGUGUGUGUGUUUUUUACACACUGUUUUGCUUCUGUUUCAGUUGUGUUUAAGGGUUGCUGAAUGUGAUGUUAAGUAUUGCACCAUUACAGGAUCAGCUUAACUGACUAGCUGGUUAAGAGCAAGAAUUAAAGUGUUUAGUAAGGAUGUUAUCAGAUUAGACUCCUCUUUUUGCCCUGUGAGUUAAACCUGAGAGAAAACCAGUGACAGAUAUGGCAAACAUAUCCACUCAUGUUUUAUAUAUAUAUACUGUUGGAUUUUUUUUUUUAAAUGUUGUCUAUGAUAUGGAUAUGGUUUCC
ensembl:lncRNA